GUUCACGUUUAAAAGCGGUUUUGCCUCUUGUUUUGGCAGUCAUUAAUUUAAAGUCGAAAUGAUGCCAAAGUUGGUAUUCGCUAUUAUCCUUUUGAGCUGGGCAGUGGCAAAUGUAUUUGCUGUACCGUGCUACCUUGCCGGAUAUGGAAAAAUGAUUUGUAAUCCGAGACCGAUACGAAACGGCCAGUAACAAAAAAAAAACAAAAAAUAAAUGUUGAAUUUGGCUAAAUUGUUAUAUUUAUUUAAAAUCACUUUAACAAAAUUUACUCAGUUUGUGAAAAUGUUCAAAUGCAAUGAAUUGUUCUUUAUGCAUAUGAAA